rnacentral:lncRNA from 1 species
CCGCAUUAUUCGACGUCCUGGAAAAUGUGACCUUGCCCAAUGUUCGACCCCCAUAUUUGAUAGAUAUUCCCAUGCACUUUCUAAUUUAUGUUUUAUUUCUCCCAUGAACUUCGUAAACUCUUCAAAACUGUAAGCUUUUGCAGCUCUCCUAAACAAUGCAACGAUGUCACUCCCCCGGUACCUAGUCUUCAGGUUGCCCUGAAUGUGGUACAUGCAAUAACCAUGAUGUGCUUCCGGAAAAACUUUGGCUAUACCAUUUAUUAUUGACUGCCCCCGGUUAGUCACAAAUGCAAAGUGCUCGAUGUCCCCAAUUACGUCUCUCAGCUUCGUGAAGAACCAACGCAUUGCUAGAUCAGUCUCUCCAUCGACAAUGCCAAAUGCAAGAGGGUAAAUUUGGAUGUUGGCAUCUUGACAUGUAGCAAUAAUCAACUUCCCUUCAUAUCUAGCUUUCAAGGCUGUACCAUCAACUAGAAUUAGAGGUCGCAUCGCAUUUCGAAAAUCUCUAAUGCAUUGUCCAAGAGUCAUAAAAAAAUACUUGAAACGAUUCUGCCCAUCGGUUUCAAUAAAAAACGCCGAGUCAGAAUUAGUUCUUACCAUGUUGUGGCAAU